rnacentral:rRNA from 1 species
UACGUAGGUGGCAAGCGUUAUCCGGAAUUACUGGGCGUAAAGCGUGCGCAGGCGGUUUUGUAAGCCAGAUGUGAAAUCCCCGGGCUUAACCUGGGAAUGGCAUUUGGGACUGCAAGGCUUGAGUGCGGCAGAGGAGACUGGAAUUCCUGGUGUAGCAGUGAAAUGCGUAGAUAUCAGGAGGAACACCGAUGGCGAAGGCAGGUCUCUGGGCUGACACUGACGCUCAUGCACGAAAGCGUGGGGAGCAAACAGG